CUGAUAUGUGUGUCUUGGUUAAGGCUUCAGAAAUUUUGGUGGAAAUAUCUGUAAGUAUAGCAUCAGAAUUAGGUGAAGAUUGGCUGGGAUCGGUGAUGAAGUUGGGGUCUUCCAUGUGUUUGUGAAAAUGUUCACAAGAACCGGGCUACAGGUAACUUGGAGAAGAGGAACCAGGACCGUGUGUCCUACUUUGAUACCAUGUCACAAUACACACAAGAGGUAAUUUUCAUUCAUACAUUCAAUAGGUGGGUUACAGAGUUUAUAUAGGAAAAAAAAAACUCCUAAUUUUGGAUAAU
rnacentral:lncRNA from 1 species